AAGUAGCUGUCACGUUUUACUCAUACAGCUUCUCUCCCUACGUUUUAUUCAGUGGAAAGCACAUGGAAAUUGAUCCCUUGAAUGUUGUUCCCUUUUUUGUGCUUACAGAUUCAAUAGUUCUUUUUAAUGUUUUUGGUAUACCAUCCGCUGUUUUCAUGCAAGCUCCAUCUUUCUUCUUCUAACUGAUCGGGCUAUGGCUGUCUAAAGUAGCGUGACUAGGUAACUCUGAAACUUAUAAACAAGAUGAUAAAAGGCUAACAGGAAAGAGGCUAAGAACGGAAACUCAGUUAUCGAGAAUUUGUGUUGUUAUAAGUUGUGUGGGAAACUGUAUAGAAAAUUUAGGUAGGGACUCUCUCUCAAAAUCUUUGUAUGUAUAAUAUUGUUAUUCGUUUGAUCUUUUAAUAUUUCUUUGAUUUGAGUUAU